GAUGAACGCUGGCGGCGUGCCUAAUACAUGCAAGUCGAGCGAACGGACGAGAAGCUUGCUUCCCUGAUGUUAGCGGCGGACGGGUGAGUAACACGUGGAUAACCUACCUCUAAGACUGGGAUAACUUCGGGAAACCGGAGCUAAUACCGGCUAAUAUUUUGAACCGCAUGGUUCAAAAGUGAAAGACGGUCUUGCUGUCACUUAUAGAUGGUUCCGCGCUGCAUUAGCUAGUUGGUAAGGUAACGGCUUACCAAGGCAACGAUGCAUAGCCGACCUGAGAGGGUGAUCGGCCACACUGGAACUGAGACACGGUCCAGACUCCUACGGGAGGCAGCAGUAGGGAAUCUUCCGCAAAGGGCGAAAGCCUGACGGAGCAACGCCGCGUGAGUGAUGAAGGUCUUCGGAUCGUAAAACUCUGUUAUUAGGGAAGAACAUAUGUGUAAGUAACUGUGCACAUCUUGACGGUACCUAAUCAGAAAGCCACGGCUAACUACGUG
rnacentral:rRNA from 1 species